UCCUUCUUAUCGAAGGCAGUUUCUCAAAAGUGCAUCCCUUGCGGGAUUAGCAACAUGAGAUAGGGGUUGCGCUCGUUGCGGGACUUAACCCAACAUCUCACGACACGAGCUGACGACAACCAUGCAGCACCUCUGCUGGCUUCCUUGCGGAUCAGCUAAUGUUUCCAAAAGCUUACUACCAGUAGUUCAAGCCCAGGUAAGGUUCUUCGCGUUGCGUCGAAUUAAACCACAUGCUCCACUGCUUGUGCGGGUCCCCGUCAAUUCUUUUGAGUUUCACCCUUGCGGGCGUACUUCCCAGGCGGUAUACUUAACGCGUUAGCUACGGCACAGUUGGGGUUGAGACCAACUACGCCAAGUAUACAUCGUUUAAGGCAAGGACUAC
rnacentral:misc_RNA from 1 species